rnacentral:rRNA from 1 species
UACAGAGGAGCCAAGCGUUGUCCGGAUUGACUGGGCGUAAAGCGCACGCAGGCGGUCGCGCGCGUGGGGUGUGAAAUCUGGCCGCUUAACGGCCAGGCGCCAUCCCAUACGGCGCGACUGGAGUGAUGCAGAGGUCGGUGGAAUUGCCGGUGUAGUGGUGAAAUGCGUAGAGAUCGGCAGGAACACCCAGGGGGAAACCAGCCGACUGGGCAUUGACUGACACUGAGGUGCGAGAGCGUGGGGAGCGAACCGG